rnacentral:rRNA from 1 species
UACGUAGGGGGCUAGCGUUGUCCGGAAUCAUUGGGCGUAAAGAGCGCGUAGGCGGCCAGAUAAGUCCGGUGUGAAAGUCACAGGCUCAACCUGUGAAUGCCGCUGGAAACUGUCUGGCUAGAGUCCGGGAGGGGCGAGUGGAAUUCCAGGUGUAGCGGUGAAAUGCGUAGAUAUCUGGAGGAACACCGGUGGCGAAGGCGACAUCCUGGACCGGUAUUGACGCUGAGGCGCGAAAGCCAGGGGAGCAAACGGG